rnacentral:snoRNA from 1 species
AUAUUCGCUGCAGGAGAAUCAUUUCUAUAGUAUUCGACCUUCUCUUGGUUCCCUAAAAGAGCCACAGAAUCCACCCUGGUUGAUGACUGUAUAUCCUCGACGCCCUAGGGUGAAAGCUCUGGUUCCUCUCGUCCUGUCCGCAAGGAUGGCGGCGUCUCGCGGCCCACGCGGACGCUGUAUGGAGAGAUUGUUCCCGCACGGCAUGGCAACAUGCCGGGAAGCUUUGUUGGUGAUCUCGUCCCUGUUCGUUGUCUCGCCUUUGGGCGCACGGAUGGGGUGGGUGUCGAUGGACGUCUGACAGGC